AUUGAACGCUGGCGGCAGGCCUAACACAUGCAAGUCGAGCGGAUGAAGGGAGCUUGCUCCUGGAUUCAGCGGCGGACGGGUGAGUAAUGCCUAGGAAUCUGCCUGGUAGUGGGGGAUAACGUCCGGAAACGGGCGCUAAUACCGCAUACGUCCUGAGGGAGAAAGUGGGGGAUCUUCGGACCUCACGCUAUCAGAUGAGCCUAGGUCGGAUUAGCUAGUUGGUUGGGUAAAGGCCUACCAAGGCGACGAUGCGUAACUGGUCUGAGAGGAUGAUCAGUCACACUGGAACUGAGACACGGUCCAGACUCCUACGGGAGGCAGCAGUGGGGAAUAUUGGACAAUGGGCGAAAGCCUGAUCCAGCCAUGCCGCGUGUGUGAAGAAGGUCUUCGGAUUGUAAAGCACUUUAAGUUGGGAGGAAGGGCAGUAAGUUAAUACCUUGCUGUUUUGACGUUACCAACAGAAUAAGCACCGGCUAACUUCGUG
rnacentral:rRNA from 1 species